rnacentral:tRNA from 1 species
UCCCAGGUAGCUUAGUGGUAAAGAAUCAGCCUACAAAGCAGGAGACAAGGGUUCGAUCCCUGGGUUGGGAA